rnacentral:rRNA from 1 species
UACGUAGGGUGCGAGCGUUACUCGGAAUUACUGGGUUUAAAGGGUGCGUAGGUGGGUCUGUAAGUCAGUGGUGAAAUCUCCGGGCUUAACCCGGAAACUGCCAUUGAUACUAUAGAUCUUGAAUAUCCUGGAGGUGAGCGGAAUAUGUCAUGUAGCGGUGAAAUGCUUAGAUAUGACAUAGAACACCAAUUGCGAAGGCAGCUCACUACGGGAUCAUUGACACUGAGGCACGAAAGCGUGGGGAUCAAACAGG